rnacentral:snoRNA from 1 species
AAGCUGAUGAGGAUUAGAUUGAAUUGGAAUUACCGUCUGAAUAGCUAUUCUUUGAUGAAAAUUUCUGUUCUAGAACUAAUUAAAACCUAUA